GUAUGAGUAAUGAGUAAUCGACAUCGUCGCUGUGUCGUUGUCGUUAAUGAUUUACUCACCGGCAGAGUUCUGGUGAUAAUGCAUCGGGACCGAGACUAAGCACAGAGCCUUUGCACUGCGCACAAACAUAAGUACUCGAUGUCGAUUUAAAAAUAGCCAACAUCAUCAUCAAAAGCAACAACUUUGAUGAGUGCUUUAUACACCCCCGACGCGACGCUGUUACCGCCAUCGCGACGCGACGUCGCUCGUCGUCUUCGCUUGUGUAGGGGGUGGGAAUAUUUAUGAUUUUUUGUUUUUAUCCAAAUUUUGAUUUCACCCAAAGGACAUUAAACUCGAACGCACCUAUACAGAUAGCCAAGUUUUUAUUUUUCGUAAUUUUGUUUUUAUUUUGGUUGAAUGGCCGAUUGAAUAUUUAAGUGAAACUUCGAGAAAUUCCAAAUUUGUUUCUUUUUCCCCGAAUUGAUUUUGAUUAAAAACAAAAAAAGAAAGACAAGAAAAACAAAACAAACGCAUGUAAGUCCGUCCGGCUCCGGGUUCCGGGCUCUGGCAGUAGGCAGCUUUUAGUGAAAUAAUUGUGACGCGAGGAAGUAAAAAAAAACCGCAUAGCGUCUCCUCGGUCGUACCAGGGAAAGCAAGCCAUAGCCAUCAAGCAGCACUAGCUCCACCACCAUCAUCAUCAUCACCACCACGAUUGACAUCAGAGCGAGAGAGAGUGUGUCAUUAGAUAUGCAAAAGUCAAAGCCGUAGCCAUAGCCAGAGCCAUAGCCAGAGCAAGACUUGGCUUUUAAUGAAAUUCACUUCGAUUUAACAUAUCACUUUGUCUGGCAUAAUGGUAAUUACAAGCGUUGUGUAAAUUGUAGAUACAAAGAUACACCACAGUGCGCAGUGCAUGCCUAAGUCGUCGCAGUCGUUUUGCCAAUCUGGUCUAAGCCGAUAAAAAACAAGACCGCAAUAUUGUCUUUUAAUAAGCAUACGAGUACUUAACAUAAGGCAAACGUAAUGCGAGGGGUUUAUAGGGUAGAGGUAUGCUCGUAUAUGAAAUGGAAUGGCACACAUGCGGAGGUUUUGAAAAUCGGAGCGUGCUGAUUAUGUUGUGGUAAAUUUUUAUAGCACUUUAGUGCUUAUUGAUUUGGAAAAUAUAUUUAAGGAGAAAAAACGAAA